rnacentral:rRNA from 1 species
UACGAAGGGGGCUAGCGUUGCUCGGAAUCACUGGGCGUAAAGGGUGCGUAGGCGGGUCUUUAAGUCAGGGGUGAAAUCCUGGAGCUCAACUCCAGAACUGCCUUUGAUACUGAAGAUCUUGAGUUCGGGAGAGGUGAGUGGAACUGCGAGUGUAGAGGUGAAAUUCGUAGAUAUUCGCAAGAACACCAGUGGCGAAGGCGGCUCACUGGCCCGGUACUGACGCUGAGGUGCGAAAGCGUGGGGAGCAAACA